AACACCUCAAGUCAAGAAUUUAUUUUCAAGACUUGGAUUUGAGUGAUCCUAACCGAUAUAUAUUUAUAUGUAUAAUGGGCAGGUCAUUUGAAAUUCAGGUGCAGCUGAACUUUUCUUCUGAGCUAAAAGCAUUAUUUUAUUUAGUCUCCGGACUAUUACUUUUUGCUGCAGCUAACAAAAAGGAAGAGAAGUGUUGCUGACUGAUGCAGGAAUUUAUCAGUUUUUUCUUUAAAGACUGUUAG
rnacentral:misc_RNA from 1 species